UUUUUGUUACCUUAAGAUCCGCCCAAACACACUCCGUAAGAUAUAUUCGCUUGUUCAGAUCGGUGGCAUACAACAAGCUCACAUUGUCCGACACUGAGAAGAAACAAUCAUGAGGGUCUUCAUUGUCCUCCUGCUCCUGGCGCUGUUGGCCAUAACUGCUUGUGUCAUGGCUGCUGAAGUCGAAGAGAUGGAGCUGCCCGAGAAUGGAUAUCCACCGAGCCUCCAAUCAGAGCAGCUCGCAAACUCAAACCUACGAGGCAUCCGACGACCAAAGAGUCGAGGCGCCCCAAGAGGCAUCCGAUCAAGGCGCCAACUGCAAAACAUUUUGGCCACCGCUGAAAGACAUGCUUGACGCGACAGAGCAAUCUAUAGAUAGGAAUCUAUUUUUAUGUCAGGAAGAUCCUCAGAAAGAGUUUCAAAUCUCACAAUAAACUUUUCCAUGACAAUUUAAAAGCUGUCCCAGGUGUCUUUAUAACACGUCCGAGUCAAUGAAUCGACCUUAACCCAAAAGAGCAUGCAUUUUACCUCCCGAAGAGGCAACUGAAGGCAGAACCCCCCAGAAACAAACUAGAACUAAAAGUGGCUGCAGUAAAAGUCUGGAAAAGCAUUUCAUGUGAAGAAUGCAACCGUCUGAUGACGUCAAUGAGUUGUUUACAUAAUGCCCAUCUCGAAGGUUUUGCUCACGCGAACAGUCGGAAGUUUCACAACAAGGUGCUUCGUCCUGAGUUGUUCAACACAUUUAAAUUUCAAAACCAUGAACUAAAAGAAGGAUUUUCAACUUUUGACUCUCAUUCACUUUUUCAAUGCAAACCCCAAAUCUCUUCAGUAUACAUAAAAACCCAAAGAAAUUAACUUGACAUUUCAACAUUUUGGGAGGAGUCUGUUGACAAAUACUGCCGAACAAAUCGAACGUACUAUUGUACAUCGGCCGUUGAUAUAUUUGUUUUCCUCCAUUCAAAGUGUUUUUUCAGAGACUUCUCCCAACAAUAGAUGCUAACCCCAAAAAUGUUGCAGUGCCACUGCACCAGGAAAAUAACCUAUUUGGCUUGUAUGACUCAUGUGACAUUACUGUAGCAGGAUGCUGGAGUCCAUCCUAGUUGACUACAGGCUGUAGGCGGUGGACACCCUGAACUGGACGCCAGCCAAUCGCAAGGCAAGCAUUGACAAACAACCAUUCACAACCACAUGUUUUUGAGAUGUUGGAGGAAAUUGGAUUGAACCCACGCAGGCACGAAACAUAUAAACUCCAGUGAAAACAGUUAAUUAAAAGACUAAAUAUAGACUAGAUAUAAAGCAGCAUAACAAUAAAGUUGUUCAAAAGCCAUGGUUGUCGAGAACACAUUUUGGAACUCAACAAGAUAAGGCUCCAAUGGGGAAAACAAAGGGAGAGUCUGAUACAGGAGCCGACGAGCCGUUCCCAUUAGGCAUCCCAUAAAAACGCAAUCUACAUGAUCAACAGUUUGCAAGACUGUAAUAGCCUCCAAGUGGCCCCGGAUAACAACAGAUGAUUUUGUGUAAAAAUCCAUGGAAGUGUUUCAAAUCUCACAAUGAACUUGGCUAGAGCAUUUUGAAUGACUGAAAAUUAUGUCCACACCUCCACCACCACCACCACAGUAAAGCUAAGUUAAACAAGUUCCUAUUUUCAAGGUGUGUCCUUGAUUAGAUAAUGAAUUUUUGUUACCUUAAGAUCCGCCCAAACACACUCCGUAAGAUAUAUUCGCUUGUUCAGAUCGGUGGCAUACAACAAGCUCACAUUUUUCGACACUGAGAAGAAACAAUCAUGAGGGUCUUCGUUGUCCUCCUGCUCCUGGCGCUGUUGGCCAUAUCUGCUUGUGUCAUGGCUGCUGAAGUCGAAGAGAUGGAGCUGCCCAAGAAUGGAUAUUCACCGAGCCUCCAAUCAGAGCAGCUCGCGAACUCAAACCUACGAGGCAUCCGAUCACAGAGUCUAGGGCCCCCAAAGGGCAUUCGAUCAAGGCGCCAGCUGCAAAACAUUUUGGCCACCGCUGGAAGACGCCCCAGACACGGCAGACAUGCUUGACGCGACAGAGCAAUCUAUAGAUAGGAAUCUAUUUUUAUGUCAGGAAGAUCCUCAGAAAGAGUUUCAAAUCUCACAAUAAACUUUUCAUUGACAAUUUAAAA